rnacentral:misc_RNA from 1 species
GAUGAAGAACGCAGCGAAAUGCGAUAAGUAAUGCGAAUUGCAGAAUUUCCGUGAGUCAUCGAAUCUUUGAACGCACAUUGCGCCCGCCAGUAUUCUGGCGGGCAUGCCUGUUCGAGCGUCAUUUCAACCAUCAAGCCCCCGGGCUUGUGUUGGGGACCUGCGGCUGCCGCAGGCCCUGAAAAGCAGUGGCGGGCUCGCUGUCACACCGAGCGUAGUAGAUUUUAUCUCGCUCUGGGCGUGCUGCGGGUUCCGGCCGUUAAACCACCCUUUUAACCCAAGGUUGACCUCGGAUCAGGUAGGAAGACCCGCUGAACUUAAGCAUAUCAAUAAGCGGAGGA